AUUGAACGCUGGCGGCAGGCCUAACACAUGCAAGUCGAACGAGUGGCGGACGGGUGAGUAAUGUCUGGGAAAAUGCCUGAUGGAGGGGGAUCACUACUGGAAACGGUAGCUAAUACCGCAUACCAUCAGAUGUGCCCAGAUGGGCUUAGCUUGUUGGUGGGGUAACGGGUCACCAAGGCGAAGAUCCCUAGCUGGUCUGAGAGGAUGACCAGCCACACUGGAACUGAGACACGGCCCAGCCCCAUACGGGAGGCAGCAGUGGGGAAUAUUGCACCAGGGGCGCAAGCCUGAUGCAGCCAUGCCGCGUGUAUGAAGAAGGCCUUCGGGUUGUAAAGUACUUUCAGCGGGGAGUCGUUACCCGCAGAAGAAGCCCCGGCUAACGCCGUGCCAGCAGCCGCGGUAAUUC
rnacentral:rRNA from 1 species